rnacentral:piRNA from 1 species
AGUUUUGGGUCGUAUUUGUGU